GAGUUUGAUCUUGGCUCAGAGCGAACGCUGGCGGCAGGCUUAACACAUGCAAGUCGAGCGGGCGUAGCAAUACGUCAGCGGCAGACGGGUGAGUAACGCGUGGGAACGUACCUUUGGUUCGGAACAACACAGGGAAACUUGUGCUAAUACCGGAUAAGCCCUUACGGGGAAAGAUUUAUCGCCGAAAGAUCGGCCCGCGUCUGAUUAGCUAGUUGGUGAGGUAAUGGCUCACCAAGGCGACGAUCAGUAGCUGGUCUGAGAGGAUGAUCAGCCACAUUGGGACUGAGACACGGCCCAAACUCCUACGGGAGGCAGCAGUGGGGAAUAUUGGACAAUGGGCGCAAGCCUGAUCCAGCCAUGCCGCGUGAGUGAUGAAGGCCCUAGGGUUGUAAAGCUCUUUGUGCGGGAAGAUAAUGACGGUACCGCAAGAAUAAGCCCCGGCUAACUUCGUGCCAGCCGCCGCAGUAAU
rnacentral:rRNA from 1 species